CAUCACACCAAGUGCAUUAAUGAGCAAUAACAGCAAUUUUAGGAUGAUUGUAAUUGAAAUGGCUAAAAAAAUCAUAAAUACAACCUCUAGUAGCAUGAUUUACUGGCUUAUCAAAAUUGACCAAUAGGUGGUGCUGUUAUCAAGUCAAUUUGGUGUACUCUGUGUGACUUUUCAAUGACACAAACAAAGUUUGGUGUCAAUAUGCCAAAGCAUUGCAGAGAUACAGCCUCAAGUGUCAUUUUGUCAUUGUGCCUCAAGUUCGUCGCUGUGGUAUGCAAAAACGGUUUUGUCUAUCGACACAAAAUUCAUAACUUUUUGUCAGCACAGUCUGAAGAUCAUCUGAUUACAUUUUGGUGAAAAUUGGACUAACGGCUGAUGAGGAGUUCAAAAAGUAGGUUUUCAACAUAAAUCAAAAUGGCGGACCGGAAGUUCAGCUUAAUCUGGCAUAUUUGGUAUCUAUGUUUUCGGCAUAAACCAGGGAAUAUUUUGAGACCAGUUUCGUUGCAAUAGGCUAAUGCAUUAAAAAGUUAUUAGCAUUUUUAUAAGUGUAAUUAUUCAUGGGUAAUGAAUGGUUUAUUACUCUUGACCAAUAGGUGGCGCUGUUACCAAAUUUAUGUGGCAUGGUCAGUGUGAGGUGGCGAUGACACAUACAAAGUUUGGUGCAAAUAUGUCAAAGUGUUGCAGAGAUACAGCCUCAAAUGCAUUUUGGCACCCUUCCAGCAAAUUCGUUGAUGCACUAAAUGAGAACCGUUACGCAUAUCGACACAAAAUCCAUAACUUUUUGCCAGCAUGGUCUGAAGAUGAUUCACGUCAAAUUUGGUGAAAAUUGGGCUAACGGUCUAGGAGGAGUUCGAAAAAGUAGGUUUUCAACAUUAAGCAAAAUGGCGGACAGGAAGUAAGGCCAAUUUUCACAUUAUUGGUAUCAAUACUCUCGGCAUGACCCACAGAAUAUAGCAAGACCAUUUUAAUUUUAAUAGACUAAUUUAUUCAAAAGUUAUUAGCGUUUAUGUGAUAUUUCAUUAUAACUAUUGGCCACAAGGUGGCGCUGCCACCAAACUUUUUGAGUACCUUCAGGGCAUGGAGCCGAAUAUUUUUGUAAUUAUUUGCGAAACGAUACGAUGCUGCGUUCAAAAAAUACAGCAUUUUGAAACAUAAUUCAAAAUGGCCGACGCCUAAAAUGGCCGACACAGGAAAAUUGGAUAUCAUUCGACUCGACAUGACUCACUGAAUCUAAAGAGACCAGUUGUGUGAUUUUUGGCCAAACCAUUCAGUAGUUAUAAGCCAAAAUAUGCAUUUUUCAUAUCUCCUGACCACUAGGUGGCGCUGUGUCGAAACACAGCAGGUAGUCUCAGUUCAUGCUUGUUAUAACACACGCCAAGUUUGGUCUCAAUAUGACAAAUCGUUGCCGGGAUAUAGCCUCACGUGCAUGUUUGCGUGCUUUUCGUCAAAUUUGUUUACGUGUCAUUCGACAACAGUUGGACGAAUCAACUUGAAUUCCAUAACUUUUUGCCAGCAUGGUCUGAAGAUGAUCUGAGCCAAUUUUCGUGGCAAUCGGACUAACCGUCUAGGACGAGUUCGAAAAAGUAGGCUUUUCGAAUAAUUGAAAAUAGCGAAAAAACUAAACCUUGCGAUUUUUGAAUUUUAGGGUUCAUUCGACUUGGCCUGAGCCAAGGAUUCAGAGGAAAAAAGAAUUUCCAUUUUCUGGCUUACGGUUCAAAAGUUAUUAGCAUACAAACAUUGAAAGUUUGGACAAGUGGUGGCGCUAGAGAGUAGGAGUUAGAGGCUUCAAAUUUGCUAUAGUUAAUGUUGGGACUGUCCUCUAUCAGUGUGCCAAAUUAUACAACUUUCCCGCAAACGGUUCUAUGGGCUGCCAUAGACUUGCGGCGGAAGAAGAAGAAGAAUAAUAAAUAUAGCUGCAAGCAGCAAUAACGGGGCCAAGCACUACAGAAGCAAGCUUCAGACGAACGGCAGGAAUGAGUAAUUAAGACAGUUUUAAGAUUAUUUUAGGCAAAAUGGCUUGAAAACAAUCAACACAACAACUAGUAAUAGGAUUUAUUUGCUUAUCACGUGUAACCAAUAGGUGGUGCUGUUACCAAAUUAGUUUGGAACGGUCAGUGUGAGGUGUCGAUGACACAUACAAAGUUUGGUGCAAAUAUGUCAAAGCUUUGCAGAGAUACAGCCUCAAAUGCAUUUUGGCACCAUUCAAGCAGAUUUGUUGAUGUGCUAAAUGAGAACCGUUUCGUAUGUCGACACGAAAUCCAUAACUUUUUGCCAGCAUUUUCUGAAGAUGAGCCACGUCAAAUUUGGUGAAAAUCUGACAAACGGUCUAGGAGGAGUUCGAAAAAGUAGGUUUUCAACAUUAAUCAAAAUGGCGGACAGGAAGUUCAGCCAAAUAAGGAAAACUUUGUAUCUAUGUUCUCGACUUGACCCAAGGAAUCUACAAAGACCAGCGUCAUGUCAAUAGCCAGAUUUAUUCAAAAGUUAUUAGCCUUUACGUAAAUUGAGUUAUAACUUUUGACCACUAGGUGGCGCUGUUUCAAAAUAUUUUGAAUACCUUCAGGGGAUGGUGUUGUUGGCACAUUCUGAGUUUCGUAAUAUUACACCAAUGCAUUUGUUUAGUAUAGCAUUUUAUUUCACAAAACUGUAUUGAAGUCAAUGAGAAUUUCAUGUUUUGUUCUAUUAUAGCGCCACCAAGAGGCUCAGUCCCACCAUUUUUUUUAUGUGUGCUCAGAGUGAGCCCAUACAUAUGUGUGUCAAUUUUGGUGAAAAUAUCUCAAUUCACUUCAGAGUUAUAGACAUUUAUAUGAAAAAGCACGUAAAAAAUGACUGACUCUUGACUUUGAUUGAAUAUUACUACCCCUUAC